rnacentral:rRNA from 1 species
AACGAACGCUGGCGGCAUGCCUAACACAUGCAAGUCGAACGAGACCUUCGGGUCUAGUGGCGCACGGGUGGCGUAACAACGUGGGAAGUCUGCCCCUUGGGUUCGGAAUAACAGUUGGAACGACUGCUAAUACCGGAUGAUGACGUAAGUCCAAAGAUUUAUCGCCCAAGGAUGAGCCCGCGUCGGAUUAGCUAGUUGGUGGGGUGAUGGCCUACCAAGGCGACGACGGGUAGCCGGCCUGAGAGGGCGACCGGCCACACUGGGACUGAGACACGGCCCAGACUCCUACGGGAGGCAGCAGUGGGGAGUCUUGCGCAAUGGGCGAAAGCCUGACGCAGCGACGCCGCGUGAGGGAUGACGGCCU